rnacentral:piRNA from 1 species
UGACCUCUCUAGGAACUUCUGGAUCCAGGGU